rnacentral:rRNA from 1 species
CCUACGGGAGGCAGCAGUGAGGAAUCUUGCACAAUGGGCGAAAGCCUGAUGCAGCGACGCCGCGUGGAGGAUGACGGUCUUCGGAUUGUAAACUCCUGUUAAACGGGAAGAAAGACUUGUUUCUAAUACAGACAAGUUAUGACGGUACCGUUAGAGAAAGCACCGGCUAACUUCGUGCCAGCAGCCGCGGUAAGACAGAGGUGGCAAGCGUUGUUCGGAAUCACUGGGCUUAAAGGGCGAGUAGGCGUCCUGACAAGUCAGGUGUGGAAUCUUUUCGCUUAACGGAAAAAUUGCAUUUGAAACUGUCGGGAUUGAGUCAGUGAGGGGAGGGCGGAAUUCCCGGUGUAGCGGUGAAAUGCGUAGAUAUCGGGAGGAAGGCCGGUGGCGAAGGCGGCCCUCUGGCGCUGAACUGACGCUGAGGCGCGAAAGCGUGGGGAGCAAACAGGAUUAGAUACCCCGGUAGUCC